UGGGCAACCUGCCCCUAGCUCCGGAAUAACCCCGGGAAACCGAGGCUAAUACCGGAUACGACCCUGCGCGGCAUCUCGCGGGGUGGAAAGUUUUUCGGCUAGGGAUGGGCCCGCGGCCUAUCAGCUUGUUGGUGGGGUAAUGGCCUACCAAGGCGACAACGGGUAGCCGGCCUGAGAGGGUGAUCGGCCACAUGGACUGAGACACGGUCCCAGACUCCUACGGGAG
rnacentral:rRNA from 1 species